UCUUAAUAGAACUGCUUCAUGGUGAAUUUGAAAUGACACUGAUUUCAAAAGUAGAGCCACUUGCUUUGCUUGGCAUACGCACAGCCUAUAAUUAGGUGCAUUUCUAUGUUAAUCCCAGUUUCUGCUGUGAGCCUAUCUAUUCCAGGCAUGCAACCAAAACUAUUCAGCAUGGUGCAAACCUGGACAUCAACAUUAACUCAUACUAGAUAACCUGUAUAUUCCAUAUUUGAGCCCGCCUCAUGCUUUCUGGUGCUUUUCAGAUAUAAGUGUCCCAUCUGGAUAAAAGUAUUCUGGCUGCAAUUUGCAAUGCAGGGAUGGCUCUUUAGUCCAGAGGUGAAAUCAGCCUUCAGUUUCUGAAAGGGCUGUGUUUCUCAUAAGACUGUGUAUGAAAAGCCAGCCAUGACCUAAUGUCAAACCUGUUGUUUUCUGCUACUUAUUAGGGAGGGCUCAGAUAAAGCUGUUGAAAAUGUGCCAGUUACUAUUUCCCAAACCAAAUGUAGAAGACUGAAGGUGCUGUGCUGCUGGACUCCACUCACUUCCACAAAUGAAGAAAUCUCUGAGGUAUCCAUCACUGUCUUCAUGUUGGUAUUUGGAAGGAUAAGCUCUUCAGAAGAGAUGCUGCUGGUAUUUCUUCCCUAGGAAGCAUCCCCCAAGGGCUCCAUGGGACCGCAGAACAACUCAGGAUGAAGGAGACCUUGGGCUUAGCACCUUGUCCAUCCUCCGGAUAAUCCUUCACCAAAAUGCCACGUAGGAGUCCCACCACUGCUGUCUGUUCUUUUCACUGUACAGAGAGUGGUGGGAUCAGGACAUUGCAGUAGAAUGUUUGUACGGGCAGGAAAAGGAGCUGCUGACACUAACAAGGAAAAAAGGAAGGUGGUUAUUCCUGGAGAAGACGCCUCUCUCCUUAAUAGCCUGACACAGUGAGGUGGCUGCCUGCAGAUUGGGAAACAGUUUCCAAAGCUCAUCAUCACCCAAGUGAGGUGGUUGCCACAGCAGGUCAGUCCCAGCACUUCCAGCCCUGCUGACCAGCGACUGAGUCAGGCUCUCCUGGCCCUGGUCACACCACUCUGCCUCGUGUUCAUGACAGCAAUCUUCAGCUGCUCAUGGUAAGACGACAUAAAACAUACCCUAGUUUCUCAUUUUAGGACAAUGCAAAACAUGCCCUAGUUUCUCUUGUGUGGCCUUUGCCUGAAUUAUUCAGUUCAGCAUUGCUUGCCUUAGUCCUGAGCACAUCCCUCUGGCCCUUGCUCCCUGACGAAUCUCUCCCACCACCUCUUUCCCAGUGACCAAGCUGAACUCAUAGAAUCAUAGAAUUGUUUGAGCUGGAAGGGACCAUUAAAAGUCAUCUAGUCCAACUGCAAAGAACAGGGACACCUACGGC
ensembl:lncRNA